GACGGGGCCGCACAAGCGGUGGAGCAUGUGGUUUAAUUCGACGCUACGCGAAGAACCUUACUGGGCUUGAACUGCUGGAGGUAGGAGCCCGAAGGGUGACGACCCGGAGCAAUCCGGGAACCAGCAGAGGUGCUGCAUGGCUGUCGUCAGCUCGUGUCGUGAGAUGUUGGGUUAAGUCCCGCAACGAGCGCAACCCUUGCCCUUAGUUGCCAGCGGGUAAUGCCGGGCACUCUAAGGGGACUGCCCCGGAUAACGGGGAGGAAGGCGGGGAUGACGUCAAGUCAGCAUGGCCUUUAUGUCCAGGGCUACACACGUGCUACAAUGGGCGGUACAGAGGGAAGCAAAGCCGCGAGGUGGAGCUAAUCCUUAAAGCCGUCCUCAGUUCGGAUCGCAGGCUGCAACUCGCCUGCGUGAAGUCGGAAUCGCUAGUAAUCGCGGAUCAGCUACGCCGCGGUGAAUACGUUCUCGGGCCUU
rnacentral:rRNA from 1 species